CAAGAUGUGAGCAGAACUGUGAAGGACCGUGUGCCAGUUUGGAAAUAGGUUCAGCUGUGACUGACAAACAAAUGGAACAUUGGCUUCCUAGCUGUGGACACUGUCCUCCUUGGGGAGCUAGAUGGAGGUGGGGUCAAGGAACUAUCAACACCAUCCUGCUCAUCCUGCCCAUGAUGAUGGAAAAGGAAAGUCCAAGAAGAAGUUGGGUCUGAGCUGGAGUCUGCAAAAGGGAGCAGGAUGAUCACCCUAGGGAGCACCCAUUGCCCACAUAUGUGGGUAUAGAUGUGCUCCCACUGACAGCAGAAUUCCAUUAAAAAUAUUCUUUUGAUUAUGAAGAAUAAGUCAAAAUGGCAAAACUUCAUGAUAACAGCCAGGUCUAUUUCUUAUACAAAGGAAAAAAAUAUUGAAGAUUUGCUGAAAAAGGAAAAGAAGGCAGCUUAAUGGGAACUACUUUACAAAAAUGUAAAUUACUCACCAGUGAUUACCAGGAUCAUGAGGACCUACUAACAUGACUGUCAUGUAAGGUGGAACAAAUUCAUCCUUGUAAAAAGGCAGAGACAGAAUUGAGGCUUCUUUUCCCUGACCUUCUCCCUGGUCUUCUUUUCCCUGAUUUUCUUCUGCCUGAUCUCUUCCCUCAUUUUCUCUGAAUCACCUCUAUAAAAACCCCCUGUUCCUGCUAGUGGGAAGAAUCACAGCCUUUGAGACAGGAGUCCCCUGUGUUUCUUCUCCUUUGCUAGCAAAGCAAUAAACUUUUUCCUUUUUUCUCAAAACCAUGUCCUCGUUAUUGGAUUGGCAUCAGGAAAAAGGACCUAGCUUUCAGCAACAGAAUUAGGAUCCCACUUUAGCCCGACUCUUCCCCUUUAUAGCAAAAGGAGGAAACUGAAACCUAGGAAAUGGAAACCUUAGUCUGUAAUCAAACUGCAAGGCAGUGAAGGAGCAAGAGUAGAAGCCAAGUCUCUCCCUUCCCUGAUCUGACUCCAUCCACAGGUUCACUUCACCACAGGUGGGUGCACAUCGAAACCACCUCGGGAGCCUUGCAAAGGCAUGAGCUUGGCCUAAACCUGGCCCAUACACAGGUCUAGCAAAUCUGAAUCCUUGGCCUGGGACUACUGGCUCAUUCCAGACAGGGUGAUCUCAUACAGUUUCAUGGUUCCCCACCAGAUUUAAAUAGUUUCUUCAAAGACCAUGUUUGUGUUGACAACUUCAAAUUACUAUUUCUAGAUCAGACCACUCCCUGGAAUUCCAGACUUGUACUUCCAAUGUCUGGAUUCAUCCAAGGUACCACAUUAUGUAUAUUUGUCCAGUGUCUUUGGAUUCUUCUUGCCUGUGACAGUUUUACAAAGUUUCCUUGAUUUUUCUGACCUUGAUAAUUUAGAGGAGUACUGGUCAAACACUUUAUAGGAUGUCCUCUUUUGGAAUUUGGUGUUUUCCUAGUGAUUAGCCAUCUGUGGGCUGUGUGUGGACUAUGUUGCUAGUAUCCUCCUGAGGAGAUAAGUCUGGCCCUGGGACCUUCCUGAGCAACCCCCAUAGGCAUUGACUGCCUGAAGCAGGUGAACUUCCCCUUCAAGCUCUGCCUAAGAUUCUACACAACACCUGAGAUGAGUGUGACUUGCCGAGAUGUCAAUCAACCUGCUGACUGCAAGACAUCACUGAAGCAAGACUCACCCUUGAAAACUUAUCCCUGCCUUUGAUGUACCCCCUUAAAUAAACCACCAGAGCCAUU